GAAAAAAACCCAAAUAUCCCAAAGAAGGCUUUCACUAAGCUUAAUUCAAACGUCUUCUUCUAGAAAUGAGACGAAGGAUUAAGGAUAGAUACAACAGACGGAAGGAAACGCGACCAGGAUUGUGGAAACAACUCGGCGAAGAUAUAAUCCGGUACGAUAUUUUAAUUAUCGUCCCUAAUAUGAGAUUAUUAUACAUAUUGCAUUGAUAGCCUGAGCGUUACCGAUGUAUAUAUACAUAACAUCUCUUCUUCCCCUAAUGACUUUGAGCAGUAUAUUUUGCGGUAGCUAAAUUGUCUCAAAUACGCAGGAACUUUCGCUCUUCCUUCGUUCUUGCUUCCUGACCUAGACAAAACUAAAGACGUGUAAAGGCAGGCUUUUAACACCCACACCACCACUACUUAAAGUAAUAUAAUAUAUGACGAUGGCAAUAUUAACUGUAUCCCGAGUCCCUGGAAGACCCACACUGCUUCUUCCCUACUUGUAUUUGUGUAGGGGGCCGUUAAAACUUUUGUGUUUAAUGUGGUUUUUUGUAGGGGUUUUUUGGUAUGUUCCUAGUUGUUUUGGCUGUUGUGAAAUUUACUGUUUUCUGCUGUUUGCUUAAUAUUUAUUUGUGCUUUACUUGAACACUGCUCUGAUUCCCUUAGAGAGCAAGAACGGGAUUUAAAGGAUGUUAAACAAAUUAAAGAUAUUAAUAAUUACAUUGCAGCAUUAUUAAUAUGAAUUAAGGAAGGCAAUAUUUAUUACUACAGUUAAUGCUAUAUCAUAUAUGAUAUUGUAUAAAUUAUACUAUCCAUACAAAUUAAAUAAAUUAAUAUUUCUUAGUAUCAUUAUCAAUGUGUUCAUGAAUUAUUAGUAAUACUAUUAUUAACAUUGUUAAUAUCAUUAACUUUUACUAGUUAAUAGUUAACCAUGUUACUAUUGUUGUCGUUGUUUAUUUUUAAUAACAGUAUUUCCCCUAUAGUUUGAGAAUUCUAGCAGGCGUCUCAAAGCUCUUUCGUUGGUCGCCACAAGAUUUAAACAUUUGGCGAGAUUAGGUCGAUCAUUCUGUACAUCAGCGUUUCUGUUAAUUUGCAGGUAUUUAAAGGAAAUUAGAAGAGAGAGCGAGAAGUCAAAGUGAAAAUAAAUAAACCCAGUAUUCUCGAGUCUAGUUGCCCAGUUCAUAAAUAAAAAAAAAGAAUAGCAUGAAAGUUAUUGAGGGUUUUCUAAAUUGGUGUAAGGUUGAGGAUAGGCGCCCCUCUCCAGUUCCUUUUUUUCUGUUAUUCUAAAGGACAAUUAUUCUAACUAUGCACUUAUUUUGAAGAACAAUAACAUUAAACAACCACGAUGGAUGCCAUCGAGGCCAGACUAUCCAAGGUCAUUUGACAUUCUGUGACUGUAUCUAUCCUUAUACAGGUAUCAGAUCCCUAUUCGUAAAAGCCAUUCAUCAUCAUAUUAUUAAUAACCAUUAUCACGGCUGGCAAUCAGCCUCGUCUAGAACGAUCGGCCGUUGCGCGCUACUUGCGGAUUCCUAUCUACUCUUCCGCCCUUUGAAGUUUCUACCUCGUGGGGAAUUCUUUUUAAAAAAUAAAAAUAAAAAAAUUGUCCGCUCGGAGGCUUUGGAUCACUCAAAGAAGCGCUGACGUCGCUCUUCCAAAUUGGUGUGAAAUCGGAUUUCAGCCUCUCCCUUCUCUGCUUUUUCUUCUCCCCUCGACAGAGCUGGCGCCCCACCCUGCCCGAUCCCAGGCUUUGGCGAGGCGUCUCUGUGGCCGGGCCCGAGGGACCAGGCGCCCCGAUGGCGAGGAGGAGGAGAAGAAGAAGCAAGGCCGAGAAUCGGUCCCCAAGGGUCGCCCAGAGGACUCUCUCUCCACUCCCUUCCAUUACUUUGCACCGCGCGCCAAGCCCUCCGGAUCCCAGAAAAGGCCUGGCCAGGCGACGCUGCCUCUCCCUGACGGGCUGUCACCUUCACGUCCAAGAAAGUGGGA